ensembl:lncRNA
AUGUCAGAGAGCAUCGUUAGGAAGGUACAACCCUUCACCAUCGGAACCAGGCUCUCCGUCUCUGGACCUUCCACCAGGUCUAAAGGUCCAAACUUCCCCCAGCAGCCGUCCUGGCAGAGCGACCGGGUCUCCCUCUACCUCAGCCAGGUGCAGGUGAGUGUGGCUACUCCUCAUCUAGCUCCCCUUGCUAACCGGACCACCCCAACAUCUGUACCUGUUAAACAGCAGCAGGAGGACAUAUCUACCCAGGACCACCGGAACCAGAAUACCAUGUCUGUGUCUCCCAACUCCCACCGGAGCUCUGUCUCUCCUACCGCCACUUCCAGAUCCAUCAGCAAGAUCACCAUCUCUGGGAGCCCAGAGGACAGCUCCUGGAGGAGACAGGAGGAGUCAGACCACAGGGUGGUUAUUGAGAAGGAGGACAGCUCCUGGAGGAGACAGGAGGAGUCAGACCACAGGGUGGUCAUUGAGAAGGAGGACAGCUCCUGGAGGAGACAGGAGGAGUCAGACCACAGGGUGGUCAUUGAGAAGGAGGACAGCUCCUGGAGGAGACAGGAGGAGUCAGACCACAGGGUGGUCAUUGAGAAGGAGGACAGCUCCUGGAGGACACAGGAGGAGUCAGACCACAGGGUGGUCAGUAUAGGACCAGGACCGGGACGACCCCCUGUCACAGGAACUCCCGGAUCAGAAAACAUCAACAACAACAACAACAACAUCAGCAGCUCCAAGCAACAGCUGCCCAGAAUAGUGGGAGUCAGCUGUGAGAACCAACCCAGCUCACAUAUUAAGGACCAUGGCAGCAUGUUUGGGUUCCUACAGACAUUGGGGCCCAGAGCAAGGUCCCCAAGGAAAGACAGAGAUGCUGAGACAGUAGUGGUAGCCCAGAAUGACAGCUACACCCAACGCACUUCCCUCUUUAACCAGGAAGUACUACAGGAGGGUAGAGGGUUAAUCAGAGCCCAGCACCCCGGCAACUCUAAGAUCCAGGACUUCUUGAUUCGGCUGGAGGAGUUAUGGGAGGAGCUAAGGAGACGACAUCACAGGAACCAGGUCUACCUGCAGGCAGGGGAGGAGAUGAGCUUUAGGACAGUACAUCUCCUCCAGGCCUUGGGUAGUAUAGAAGCCUGGUUGGAGGCAGCAGAGCUGUCCAUGUCGAACUCCCAGUUGGCAGUAGACCCAGAGACCAUGAGGCUGGCUGAGAGAGACAGCUGCCUGCUCCAGACAGAGAUGUCCUGCCGGGGAAUGGAGCUAACAGCACUCAGACAGGAGAUGGACAGGCUGGGUGGUCAGCGGGAGGGUCAGUGCCCAGGAUACCCCAACACUGAGGGCCUUCAGGUGCCACAACACCACACACAGGUCCUCCCAGAUCUUAUGGACCAGGUGGAGAGAAAGUACCAACGUGUCCAGACCGCGUUGACCCAGCAGAGUUCGUCGCUGCAGGACACCAGGAUGCUGACAGAGUUUCUGGAGCGGGUGGAGCUAGAGGAGAGGGUGGAGCUAGAGGAGACCCAGAAGGCCAGGGGGAGGGGCUACAGCAGUAACCUUGGACAGCCUCUCCACGGUGAGAUCAGCUCAGCUCUUACCCUGCUGGGUGAUGGGUGUGGAAGCGGUGGUGGGGAGCCAAUGAUGGAGCCGCUGGGAAACCCUGUAGAGGAGCUGCAGGAGGCAGUGGAGAUGUUGAAUGACACGGUCAGAGAGAGAGGACGAUCACAGAAUCACAUCCAUGAUCAAGCCAUCCAGACUAUGAUCCGACAGCUGGCUGUGCUGUCAGUGCGUGUGGAGGACAGUCUGUGCUGCAGUAGAAAGCUGAACCAGGAACUCCUACAGAGAGAGAAAGACAUGGCCAUGCGCUGUGAACCAGAACAAUGUGGACUAGAGGGACUGAAGGAACAGCAAGAAAACCUAGAGGUGAAUUAUGCUGUGCUGAAGGAAGAGGUGGAGGAGCUCCAGAGACAGACUGGUUAUCUGGAGGAGCUAUGCCCAGAGAGAGUGACCUUCCUGGCGGUGGAGGUGCAGGGAGCCCUGGGGGUAUGGAGGGAAUUGAGGAGGAACGUAGAGGGGAACAGAGACAGAUUACGACAGUUUGUUCACCUGCAGGACUUCUUCAGGACCUACCUGGCCAUGAUAUCGUGGAUGGAGGACACCCGGGAGUGUAUUUUCUCUGAGAGAGUGUUGCAUUGUGGGAGGGACGACCAGGAGCCAAUGGCUGCGGUGAUGGAGAUGGACGUCCAGAUAGACAGAAAGUUGGAGGAGUUGGAGGAGAUGGAUGCUGCAGGGAGGAACCUGCUGAACGCUGAGCACCACCUGGCCAACAUGAUCCAUGAGCGUCUGGAGGAGUUGAGGUCCAUGCUGGGAUGGAUGCUGGUCCACUGGAGAAACCAGAAACACCAGAGGAGUCAACGCAGGAAUAACGAGACUGAACCUAAUGAAGAUCUUAUCGACUCUGAGCCCCCAACAGAGCAGACUUCUGGAGAUAAUAUCUACUCAAAGACCACAGUAGAGUCCACUAGAGACAACAUCUACUCAGAGACCACAGUAGAGUCCACUAGAGACAACAUCUACUCAGAGACCACAGUAGAGUCCACUAGAGACAACAUCUACUCAGAGACCACAGUAGAGUCCACUAGAGACAACAUCUACUCAGAGACCACAGUAGAGUCCACUAGAGACAACAUCUACUCAGAGACCACAGGAGCAGAUAUCUACACAGAUGAUACAGCCUGCUCCACCCACAGUACCCCUGCUCAGCCAGAGACCCACAGUACCCCUGCUCAGCCAGAGACCCACUUUACCCCUGAACUGAGUGUCUUUGAGGACAGACUGAGGAAAAUAGACACUCUGUACUGUCCCGCAACAGACCAGCAAAGUUGGAAGGACCAAGAGGAUGGCUAUCAGGUGAUGAACAGCAACACAGGGCCUCUAAGGGGCCUCACCUCUCCCCCAGAGACCCACCAAUCCCCCUGCCUGGUCUUAAAAGAGCCCAGCAGCCCAGCCCUCUGCCUGGGGGGCACCAUGAGCCUAGGGGGCACCUCAGUCAACAGCAGCCCUAAGGUUAGAAUGGGGGGGCAGGGGGUUAGCUUGGUGGGCCAGGGGGUUCGCCUGGGGAACCAGGGGGGAAUGGUCUACCUAGGGGGCACCGUCAAGAACAGCCCUACCCUCAGCCUUGGAGGCAGUGUGGACCUGGGGGGUACUGUCAAUCUCAUCCUCAGCUUGGGGAACCAAGGAGACAGUCAUGUGGAGGUGAUGGAGGCUAAUCCUAGGGUGGGUGAGGAGGAGAGCACAGAGCCUGUCCACAGGCCACCUAAAACCUUUUGGAGGUGCUGCCAGGGUCUGUGGGAAAAUACUCUGGGUAGUUUAAAGAGAAAGAUUUAUCGCCAGAGUGCAGAACAGGACAACAACAUGACAUCAGCUCCUGCAUACGAGAGUAUUUUACUGCCCCGCCUCCACACCAAGACCUCCUCCUCUUCAUCCCCCUCCUCCUCCUCCGGGGCUCCUCAAUCUUGCGUCUCUUUCUCCUCCUCCCUGCCCAAGAACACCUCCAUCUUCUCUAGUCUGAAGAUAAGGAGCAAGAAGAGGAGAAGGAAGAGAGACGCUGGCCGCCACACCAUUCAGAAAAUCAUGGUUGUAGAGGGGGAGGAGCAGACAGAGGUGGCAUGUCCUGCUGAAGCUGCACCCCAGCAAAUCACGCUGUACGACACCCAGACCUGGCCAAUGAAGGAGGGCCGGAGGAAGAAGAAGAGCCUAUUAAAGGCCGAGGGGGUGGGGCCAGGGCAGGGGGUGGAACUCGUGGACUACAUGGAUAACCCAUUGGCCAGGGAUAUUGAAGAUGAAUGUUCUGGGGUCUCCACUGUCAGCCCCUAUGCAGUGACAGAGGCAGUCUCUAUAGCUCCACCCAGGGGCCAGGUGAGGAGCCACUGCAGGUUCCUGUCUCUGGGGUCUGUUUUGACCUUCGACCUCUCCAAAGACAUGAGGUUGAUCCCCAGUAUACAGGAUGUCAUCACUAUAGGACUCCCAGAACACAGGGGAACCCCCAACCCAAACCUCAAUCCCAACCCUCACACAGAGACACAUGCAGCCCUCAGCUCUUUCAAACAUACCCGCUCCCCUCCCUCAGACACGCACAGAGGACCAGACAAUGAGGCCGUCACUACUUACAGAUAUGAAACAAUGACACAGAUACAGACACAGCCACUACUGACACUGACACUGACACAGCCACUACUGACAAAGACACAACCACUACCGACACAGACACAACCACUACUGACACAGAUACAGACACAGACACAACCAUUACUGACACAGACACAGCCACUACUGAGACAGACACCGACACAAAUACUAAAACAGACAAAGCCACUGACACAGGCUGUUCAGCUAGAGCCUCUGUCUAAUCUAGAUACAGAUUUUCCUCCUCCUCCUCCUCCUGCCCUGGAUGAGGACUGGGAUCAGAACGUAUCAAGCAAUGACCUAUCCCUAUCACAGAUCCAGACCGUACUCCAGGAGCCUGAGCAAGAGUGGUCGGAGCUCAUCUUCAGCAAGCAACCACCAAUCACAGCUUAUUGCCCAAAGAGUCCCACUCCAAUGAACCGAGACCAUUACAAUUACAUGGAAACGACCAUGGUUAGUAGAAGUCCUAUUGUAAAGAGCAAGGACCCCUGUCCCUCCUCAGCCUAUCAGAACCAUGAGAGCAAGGACCCCUGUCCCUCCUCAGCCUAUCAGAACCAUGAGCGCAAGGACCCCUGUCCCUCCUCAGCCUAUCAGAACCAUGAGCGCAAGGACCCCUGUCCCUCCUCAGCCUAUCAGAACCAUGAGCGCAAGGACCCCUGUCCAUCCUCAGCCUAUAAGAACCAUGAGAGCAAGGACCCCUGUCCCUCCUCAGCCUAUCAGAACCACGAGUGCCUCAUUCAGGACCUCAAUGGACACCAGUACCAUCAUAGGUUGAAGACCCAUAGAGAGAGUGUUGACCUCCAGGAGACCAGCCAGGCUUCUCAGAUGGUUGUGAAUCUGAAGGUCAGUGGGUUAGGGAGUAUGAUGCAAGACUCUAUGGACUCUGGCAUCUCUGGUGUCUCCAACUCUGGGAGCUUGAAGCUCAAUGCACCUGAUGUUCUCCAAGAGCCCCAGCCCAUGAGGACUGUGGUGGGGAGGCUAGUGUCUCUGGAGGAGGGGCGCAUGGAGGCUGUGUCCACACCCAGGGAAAAUCCCACAGAAACCCCAGCUCCUGCCCACCCAGAGACAAAAACAACACCCAGAAACAGACACCACCAGACAGAGACAGAACUCGACUCUGAUCCGCUCGACCCCGACCUCACCAUCCAUCCAGACCACCAGCAGUUUGAGGAGGUAGAGGAGGAGCUGGAGGACAUCUGGAACCAUAGCAAUGGCUACAGACAGAGUAUCUCCUCUGACAUCAUGUACCAGCCACACCAAGAGGAGAAGGAGGGGGGAAGUAGCAACACCCCAGGACUGACCACAGACCCCCUCUCACCCCCCCAGGCCCAGCCCCAGGCUACCCCCUACAGGAAGCUGAUAACAACUUCUGCCCCUAACCUUCUGGUGGCUGAAUUCACACUCCCCUCCUCCCUCCAAACCCUACUGGGGUACAACCAGGACCAGAACCAGGACCAGGGCUUUAGCCAAGACCCUAACUCCAGAGAAGAGCUCCCUAUGCUGGCUAACAGAGACAUGAGGUCCUGGGCAGCUUUCCCUAUUCAGGACCAACCCUGGAGGACCACACCACUGGUCAAUGAAACGGCAGCAGAACCAGUCAAGCUGCCGGAAAUGGAGGACCAGAAGAGAUAUAUCUACCAUUAUAGAGAGGAGGAGGAAGAGGAUGAGGAGGAGAAGAUGGAGGACACAGGUUGUCCAAAGGACCCAUCAAUGAGUCUGCUGUCUGUCCACAUGGGUCUGCACGGAAACAAUCAGCGAGCUACAAGUUGUGGCACUCUGGAAGGUGUCAUGGAAAAGCAUGGAGAGAGUCUGGCCACAGGGGGGCGAUGUGGCACUAUGAAUGGGAGUGGGUCUGAGCUGCAGACGAUGGAGGGAACUCUGGAGAGGAAACACAAGCUGCAGCUGGGAGGGAAGAAGGCCAGGUCUCGAGCAUGGAGCUCCCAUCAUGCAGUGCUUUACAAACAGACACUCUGCUUCUACCAAGACAGAAAGGAUACACUGAGGAACUGUGUGUGUGGCCUGUCUCUAACCCUGACGGGAGCAGAAUGUGUCUCAGCCCCAGAGAACACUAAGAAACCACAGUGUUUCAGUCUGCGCUUAAGAGAUGGCUCAGAGUACCUCCUCAACACAGCAAACCGAUUCAUGAUGAAGAAAUGGAUGCUGAAAAUACAAGCCAACAGUGUGCCCAGUGAGCAUGUCUCCUCCAUGACGUCACCCAGCGACCUCUUGGUUCAGGACCACCCCGCCCCCUUCACCACCUCUUUCCUCUCACAAAGUACCAGCAGGGGGACGACCAGAGCCAAGGAGAUAGUUGUCCUGACCAGAGAGACCAGAGAGACUCACCGUCAGAUCCCUCAGUUGCACCCAGAGAAACAGCAGGACCCAACAUCCUCAUCACAUACAGGCCGUCGUGAAGAUAACUAUGACUCCCUGAGACAGAAACUGUGUGGUAGAUCCAGGGAGAACAGCCCUUCCUCCUUGCACUCCUCCAUCUCUCCUUUCUCCCUCCACAACUCGUCCUCCAUCCCUCCAUUCUCCCUCCACUCCCCUGUCUCUCCUCCUUUCUCCUCUGUCUAUAGAGGUGGUCAGGACUGGCUCAGUCAAGUGAACAAGUGUCACUCAUUUACCUCAGCAAGGUACCAGAAUAUUAAACCAGCGUUGCUGCCCCCAGGAGGCAGAGGCCGGGACUACGGAUCAGUGGGUCUGGACUGUGGGUCAAACUACUCCGUGACUAUGAUUAUAGGAGACAAGCAGUCUGCCGCCUCUCCCACUCUCAGUUGUGAUGGUAGUGGUCCAUCUAUCACCAGUCACACUGACCCACAGCGCCCCCUGCUGGAUGGAUGGCAGCACCACUCAUAUCACCAGGACUCUACUACAAGAAGGCAGCUUCACCGGCACCAAGCAAUGUACCACCACGACCAGGAACCAUCUCUGAGGUCCUGCACCGGUCUGCCUCCGCCACGCAAGAAGUCUGUCUUCAACAAGUUCUUUGGGAAGAAAGACUGA